UGGGGAAUAUUGGGCAAUGGGCGCAAGCCUGACCCAGCAACGCCGCGUGAAGGAAGAAGGCUUUCGGGUUGUAAACUUCUUUUGUCAGGGACGAGCAGAAGACGGUACCUGACGAAUAAGCCACGGCUAACUACGUGCCAGCAGCCGCGGUAAUACGUAGGUGGCAAGCGUUGUCCGGAUUUACUGGGUGUAAAGGGCGUGUAGCCGGGUCGGCAAGUCAGAUGUGAAAUCCAUGGGCUCAACCCAUGAACUGCAUUUGAAACUGUAGAUCUCGAGUGUCGGAGGGGCAAUCGGAAUUCCUAGUGUAGCGGUGAAAUGCGUAGAUAUUAGGAGGAACACCAGUGGCGAAGGCGGAUUGCUGGACGAUAACUGACGGUGAGGCGCGAAAGUGUGGGGAGCAAAC
rnacentral:rRNA from 1 species